rnacentral:lncRNA from 1 species
CAAUAUCGAAAUUAACUACCAUAUAUCAUCUGCGUAAGCUUUUAGGGGUCGUUUAGUUAAAUAUAAUUAUAAAUGCAGUGUAGUUGAAGAUGCAUGUAAUAAAAAAUAUAAUAAUUAUAAUUACAUGCAUCAUGUUUUGUUGGAUGUAAUAGAAAGCGCUGUAACUAUAAUAAUUUAUUUGGUUAUAUGUAGUUGAGAAAUAAUUUUUAAAAUUUUGUCAUUUUAUAUAUAUGAUGAUGAGAUUACCUCCAAUAUAAAAAAAAUAGUUUAAAAAAUAUUUAAAAAGGUAAGGCUAUCUUUUGCUUAAUGUUACUCUCUAUAACUACUGCAGUUGGACCUUCUCCUGCAGUUUUUACUACAACAGUUGGAGUUAAAUACGUCAAAAUAAAUAUCGAAUUUGUAUUUGUACAUAGUUACAACUGCCGUGCAGUUGCAAUUACGUACAACUGCACUUACAUGUAACCAAACGGCUCCUUAAAGUAAUUGAUUGUUUCACAUGUUUCACUCUCAUCCAACUUC